rnacentral:rRNA from 1 species
UGGGAUGACGUCAAGUCCUCAUGGCCCUUAUGUCCAGGGCUACACACGUGCUACAAUGGCCGGUACAAAGAGUAGCGAUGCCGCGAGGUGGAGCCAAUCUCAAAAAGCCGAUCUCAGUUCGGAUUGGAGUCUGCAACUCGACUCCAUGAAGUCGGAAUCGCUAGUAAUCGCGUAUCAGCGUGACGCGGUGAAUACGUUCCCGGGCCUU